GAGGCCCUAUCACGUUCAAACACCGGUUCCCGUACGAUCACUGAUGUCAAGCAAUGUCGAGCCUAGUCAGGACGUAGAUGGGUGACCGCUUGGGAAUACCAGGUGCUGUAAG